rnacentral:rRNA from 1 species
AUUGAACGCUGGCGGCAGGCCUAACACAUGCAAGUCGAACGCGUGGCGGACGGGGGUGUAAUGUGUGGGAAACUGCCCCAUGGAGGGGGAGAACUACUGGAAAAGGUAGCUAAUACCGCAUACCAUCAGAUGUGCCCAGAUGGGAUUAGCUCGUUGGUGGGGUAUCGGCUCACCAAGGCGACGAUCCCCAGCUGGUCUGAGAGGAUGACCAGCCACACUGGAACUGAGACACGGUCCAGACUCCUACGGGAGGCAGCAGUGGGGAAUAUUGCACAAUGGGCGCAAGCCUGAUGCAGCCAUGCCGCGUGUAUGAAGAAGGCCUUCGGGUUGUAAAGUACUUUCAGCGGGGAGGCGUUACCCGCAGAAGAAGCACCGGCUAACUCCGUGCCAGCCGCCGCGGUAAUUC